GUACACACCGCCCGUCGCUGCUACCGACUGGAUGAGGAGGCGAGCUGUAAGGAGUUGAGGCCGUGCUGUGGGUCAAACCGCAGCUGGUCGCGACGAUUUUCCGCAAGUCUUUUCAUCUGGAGGAAGCAGAAGUCGUAACAAGGUAUCCGUAGGUGAACCUGCAGAAGGAUCA
rnacentral:rRNA from 1 species